rnacentral:rRNA from 1 species
GGGGUGCUAAUACCGGAUAAGACCACGGUUUCUUCGGAGACUGCGGUAAAAGGUGGGGACCUUNGGGCCUACCGUUAUCGGAUGAGUNCGCGUACCAUUAGCUAGUUGGUGGGGUAAGAGCCCACCAAGGCGACGAUGGUUAGCUGGUCUGAGAGGAUGAUCAGCCACACUGGAACUGAGACNCGGUCCAGACUCCUACGGGAGGCAGCAGUGGGGAAUUUUGCGCAAUGGGGGAAACCCUGACGCAGCAACGCCGCGUGAGUGAUGAAGGCCUUCGGGUCGUAAAGCUCUGUCAGAGGGAAAGAAGUGCAGUGGUGCUAAUACCAUCAUUGCUUGACGGUACCCUCAAAGGAAGCACCGGCUAACUCCGUGCCAGCAGCCGCGGUACAAGGGCGAAUUC